rnacentral:misc_RNA from 1 species
AUCAUUAGGUGCGAGCAGUGUCAGGUAGUGACGAGAAAAACCCCUUCUCUAAUUCCGCGGGUGUUCAGUCAUUGCCGGAAAGUAAAAAAAUCGAGGGGGAAGGAGUGAGAAUAUUUGUGGCAGUUACACACGAGAGAUCGAAUGAGAUGGUAAAAAGAUGCGGCGAUCGAGUAGUAGUGCCAUUCCUGUUGAUGAGAUGUUGACAAGAUUUUUGCGAUGCUCGAGUCGUCCAGUUUUUUCAUGAGUACAGUUGAACAGAUUGUGCACAAAUGUCGAGGAACAACAUAACGUAACAGUGUGGUUUUUCGUUCUUUGCAAAUUUUACUUGUAUACGUAUGUAUGCGCGUAUAAAUAUAUAUGUAUACGUCAGUGUCCUAUCGGCGUGUGUAAAAUGGCGGCGUCUCGUUACCCCACGAAAUAUUACGAAUUUAAUAAAGUUUAUGCGAUUGUGUGCAGUUACGCGGCGUGAAUUAUGCGUUAUUAUCCGUGAUAAAGGGUGAAAAAAAAACGUCGAUAGUGUUCGACGAAGUGCCGGCGUGUGAACCAUCGUUGAACGGGAGUCUAGAGUUGUGUGCGUUGCGCGAAAAAGCUUGGAUCGAUCGGGGAACGCACGAGAGUCUCUAAAAAGGCAAGAAUAUCAUUGCGUGUAUUGGAGAAAGAGAGAAAGGAAAAUAGCGAAAAAGCGCGUGUGUGUGUUUUCGAAGGAAUAAACGCGAAAGAAAGACUUUCGUAGUUUUGGUGUCCUGCUCUUUCUUUUGGUUCUCCGACCACGAAACGACAAGUUUCGUGGAACAAUACAAAAAUAUUUCGUUCUACGCGAAAAGGGUGGUUACUAAAUUGCGUCGAUAGAAUAUUUAACAAACGAAAAGCAAUCGACUAAAUCGAUCCUAUUUUACUAAUGCAAUCAAUGCCAACGGAUCUACGAAACCACGCGAGUACGUGAGAAAAAACCGAACGAAGAGAGAAUAACACGUAUCGACGAGUCGAGUAUAUUGCGUGUUCAUUUGGAGUGUGCCAUUUUUCGACAAUAGGUUGGCUCGUCGAAUGCACAACGACACGAUGAUAUUGACUUUGUCCAUUGGUGGAGCAACGUCUUAUUUUCUUCGACUUCGGGGACGUCGACGACUCGGGAUUUCACAUCGACAAGACUCUUCCCACUGAUUCGGAAACCCCUUACAUUGGGCUCGUGUUUCUCUCGACUCACGCGUGUGCCGCUCUCCGCGCGUGUGUAUGCGAUUUUGCCUGUUUUUCUUUCCUUCGCCAAACACCGGAUAAAUCUUCGUCAGCGAGGAUGAGAAGCGUCAGGAGCAUCGGGACCGCUGGCAUAAUAGGCCUCGCGAUCUUUUCGAUAAUUCACAUCCUGUGCCCGGUCGAUGGUCUCAAGUGCUAUUGUGAUAUCUGUGCCGAUACUAAUUACACUUGCGAGACCGAUGGCUAUUGUUUCGCGAGUACUAACCUCGACAAGGAUGGAAUAACUCAUGCUCGCAGGUGUUAUUCUAAGACGCGGUUCUUCCCAGUGCCCGAGUACUCCAUAUGGUGUACGACAAAUGACACAUUGAAAACUCCAGGAGGCGGUGAAUUCGUCGUAGCCUGUUGCGAUAACGUUGAUUACUGCAAUCGUCAUCUCAAGCCAUCCCUUCCCUCUAAGAUAACCGCAGAUUCUUCUCCACGUGUUACAUCGAACGGAGGGGUCGGGGCGUGGGCAACAUGGAAAAUGGCAUUGACGAUAGCGCUACCAAUCUGCGCUAUUUGCGUUGUCGUUAUGGUGGUUUAUCAUAUCCACAUGACUCGGAGAAGACCGGCGAGACACUUCCCAGACGAUUCACUCGAAGCACCCGAUCGACCCAUUCUCGGUGGUGUUACCAUCAGAGACAUGCUGGAAAUGACCACGAGCGGUAGUGGCUCAGUAGGCCUGCCGCUGUUGGUACAACGGAGUAUAGCCCGCCAAAUCCAGCUCGUCGAGACAAUCGGCAAAGGGCGGUUUGGUGAGGUCUGGCGUGGACGCUGGCGGGGUGAAAAUGUCGCUGUGAAAAUUUUCAGCUCGCGAGAAGAGAGAUCGUGGUUCAGAGAGGCCGAAAUAUAUCAGACUGUUAUGCUCAGGCAUGAUAAUAUUCUCGGUUUCAUAGCUGCCGAUAACAAAGAUAAUGGAACUUGGACGCAGUUAUGGCUAAUCACGGAUUAUCACGAGAAAGGCUCGCUCUUUGAUUACCUGAAUCGCUCGACCGUCGACACGAACGGAAUGAUCAGAAUGGCCCUAUCAAUGGCUACGGGACUUGCACAUUUGCAUAUGGAGAUUGUUGGCACUCAGGGAAAACCAGCGAUCGCUCAUAGGGAUUUAAAGUCAAAGAACAUUCUGGUUAAGACGAAUGGCACGUGUGCCAUUGGUGAUUUGGGUCUUGCUGUUCGUCAUGACGUCAUCACCGACACGGUAGAUAUACAGUUGAACAACAGGGUUGGAACUAAGCGAUAUAUGGCUCCCGAGGUUCUCGAGGAGGCGAUAAAUAUGAAUCAUUUCGAUUCGUUCAAGAGAGCAGACGUUUAUGCGCUCGGCUUGAUUCUAUGGGAAAUAGCGAGGCGAUGCAACGUCGGUGGUAUACACGAUGAGUAUCAAUUACCAUUUUAUGAUUUGGUACCGUCCGAUCCGACGAUCGAGGAAAUGCGCAAAGUCGUUUGCACCGACAGACAGAGGCCAUCGAUACCGAACCGAUGGCAAUCGAUUGAAGCACUUCAAGUUAUGUCGAAAGUGAUGAAAGAGUGUUGGUAUCACAACGCAGCGGCGAGAUUAACUGCACUGAGGAUUAAAAAAUCUCUAGCGAAUUAUGGCGCCAUGGAAGAUCUGAAGUAGUGAAAGAAGAAAAACGGGCGAAGAAACAAAUAAAUCAUCGUAUUUUACGAACAGACGAACAAAAUCCUCAUUUUUCAACUGUUUCGAGAACUUUCGUGGUGAAAGAUCGUGACAUUAAAAAUGAUGCACUUGUGUCGCAUCGAAACGCUCGAAUGAGAUCCUCCAUCAACAGGAUUUCGACGAGAUUUCCAUAUUGCGAUUGCCUCGAGGCUCUCUACGGUUCAGCCUGGUCAAAAUUUCACCCCAUUUGGGAUUCCAUCGAUCUCGUGAAGUGAUACAAGAUCCACUGCACAAACCUCAUCUCAGCUCAUAUCCAUCGAACUCGAUCGAACUUGAAUAAUAGACGACACAAUCGUACGACCAACAAUUGCGAAGGAUGCUUGGAAACGAGAGAAAAGGAGAGAAGCCAGCGACGAGAUAAUCCGAAAUUUCGUACGUACGCGUUUCAGUUUAUUAUUAAAUUAUAUAUGUUGACACAGGUUAAUGUGUAUGUCGUACAACGAGGCUCUGUGAAUGGGCAAAAUAAUACCUAUCUAUGUAGUAGUAGAGUAGAAUUAUUAUUAUUAUUAUUAUUAUUAUUAAUAUUUAAAUACAAUAUGUAUGUACGUUUGGUAGACGUGUAUACGUAUUUAUUUUUUUCCUUACUUUAACGAUAAAUUAAAAUGAGGAUUAUUCGUACAUCUAUGUAUAAAUGUAUAACUGUGGGGGGUAUACACAUGUAUAAAUAGACAUACCGAUAAUCAUCGGUCGGUGCGAUGUUUUCUUUAGAAGUGAGAUGAUGUUCGGUAAGUAGUAUAAUAAUGCAAUUUAUCUUUCUUUGGAUUUGUUGUUCAUUUGAUCUGACGGUAUAUUUCGAUGUGUUUUCCUCCUCGUGGACGAAGCGAAGACUUUUUAUUGUUUUGUCGCUGAAAAUGUUGGAAUUCGUCGCGAUAUCGAGUGUCGAUCGAGUGUACUCGAAUCUUUACAAUUCGUUCGUAUUCGUAGAUAGAUUUAUGGUUUUGAUUUUUUUCGUGGCUACACUGAUUCGAGAUCCUGAAGGUAAAAAAAAACGUUUUGGAUUUUUUUUCGUAGUGAAUUAUAAUAUUGUUAUCGCAAGCGAAUAGCACUCGAAAGUUUGAGCUU